rnacentral:rRNA from 1 species
UACAGAGGUCUCAAGCGUUGUUCGGAUUCAUUGGGCGUAAAGGGUGUGUAGGUGGCGCCGUAAGUCGGGUGUGAAAUUUCGGAGCUUAACUCCGAAACUGCAUUCGAUACUGCGGUGCUUGAGGACUGGAGAGGAGACUGGAAUUCAUGGUGUAGCAGUGAAAUGCGUAGAUACAAUCAAGAACUCCGAUUGCGUAGGCAGCUAACUAGGCUGUAACUGACGCUGAGGCACGAAAGCGUGGGGAGCGAACAGG